rnacentral:lncRNA from 1 species
UUUGUGAACAUUUCACAUAAGCUCGACAUCCAAAUAUUAAAGUAAAAGAGUAUCGAAUUACCCAAGUCCAUAUCCCAUAUAGAGUUUUGAUGAUCGAUUUGCUCAGAAUGUUCUCAAGCACAUAUCAAGUAGUCUCUAAAACAUAAUCUCAGGUAGACCAGCAAAUCCCACAGUGGAUUGAACCAUAUCUAACAAAGUUCAAUUCCUCCUUUCAGACAUCUUUUUUAAAUAGUGAUAUCACAAGAGAGGUCCAUUA